UAUUUGGUGUUACUGACAACCCUACUGCGU
rnacentral:piRNA from 1 species